rnacentral:sRNA from 1 species
CAGCGGCUUGAAUUUUCACGGGUACUGG